rfam:Clostridium sp. CAG:306 genomic scaffold, scf71
GGAGAGGUGUCCGAGUGGUUUAAGGUGCAAACCUGGAACGUUUGUGUGGGGGCAACUCCACCGGGGGUUCGAAUCCCCCCCUCUCCG